rnacentral:pre_miRNA from 1 species
GUAUGUGAUUCAGAUGCGUUUAAGUUGAAAGAAUUGUAGAUUUUGAUUCCGUUUUCGCCAAUAAAAUUCAGCAGAAUUGAUAUUUUUCUUUUGUCUUUGGCGUCAUCAAGGCCAUUAGC